UUCUUAGUGUAAGUAUUUCCCAUGCAAUAUUUGGGACAUACCUACACUAAAA
rnacentral:pre_miRNA from 1 species